CCACACAAAAUAGGGUUUUCGUUCGCAAUGAAACCCUAUAAAUGUAUAGCUUUCUGCAUAAACGCUCGAAAGAAAAUAAGGGCAGAUUAGUAGAAAGAGACACAAGAGCGAGAGAUGGAUAGUGUGAUCGGAGACACCAACAUGGUGACGGAGAUACUCACAAGACUGCCCAUUAGAUCCCUGAUGCGAUGCAAUUGUGUAUGCAAACGCUGGCGCAACUUAGCACGAGACCCUCAAUUCAUUCAAAGCCACCUCACUCGAUCGGUGAUAAAUUCUACUACCUGGAACACAGCAACGGUACCAACGAUUACACUUGUACAAAGGUUGCUCGGAUAAUCCGUAAUUCUGAUGACACCUAUAGGUCCCGUAAAAGAUCCAAGGACACCAACGACGUUAAGAUUCUAUGCUUUCAAAAAAAUGGGGAACUUUUGAUGUUGGAUAAUAAUAAUAAUAUGGAUCAUGUUUUGAUGUCUUAUAAUCCCCAAACCAUGGCAUUGAGGAAGCUUAGCUUUGAUACUGGGCUAGCACAUUGGUCACUCAUGCGGGGAGUCUUGUUUCACUUCCCGGCACGGAGAAGAUGAACUAGUGUCACACGUUUAAACCAGUUUUAGCUAGUGCUUUUAUAGUUAUUGACAUUGAUCUGCUGUUUUACUUUUGGGGCUUUGUCAAUGGGCUUUAAGUCUAGUUGUUCAAUGUUAUUUAUGAAAUUUUAGUGGCAUUACAUGAAUUGGUGUAAUAUUUUAAGAUUAAUUUCUUUUCUAUUCAAUCCA